UACAGAGGUGGCAAGCGUUGUUCGGAAUUACUGGGCGUAAAGGGCGCGUAGGCGGCCUUCUAAGUCAGACGUGAAAUCCCCAGGCUUAACUUGGGAACUGCGUCUGAUACUGGGAGGCUUGAGUGCGGGAGAGGGAUGUGGAAUUCCAGGUGUAGCGGUGAAAUGCGUAGAGAUGCGGAGGAACACCGAUGGCGAAGGCAGCCCCCUGGGCCGACACUGACGCUCAGGCACGAAAGCGUGGGGAGCAAACAGG
rnacentral:rRNA from 1 species